GAACCAUAAAAAUAAAAAAGCUAUUUAAUUAUAUAUACAACUCAAAUCUGUUGAAGAAUUUUCACUUCCCUUAAUUAAUCAAACAAAACUAUAUUUUUUUUCUCUUCUAUU
rnacentral:snRNA from 1 species